rnacentral:rRNA from 1 species
ACACAUGCAAGUCGAACGAUGAAGAAAAGAAUUGAAGCUUCGGCAGAAAUUCAUUUCGGAUUAGUGGCAGACGGGUGAGUAACGCGUGAGCAACCUACCUCUUACAAAGGGAUAGCCUCGGGAAACCGGGAUUAAUACCAUAUAACAUUGCGACGAAGCAUUUCGAUGCAAUCAAAGCUACGGCGGUAAGAGAUGGGCUCGCGUCCCAUUAACCAGAUGGUGAGGUAACGGCUCACCAUAGUAACGAUGGGUAACCGGCCUGAGAGGGUGAACGGUCACACUGGAACUGAGACACGGUCCAGACUCCUACGGGAGGCAGCAGUGGGGAAUAUUGCACAAUGGAGGGAACUCUGAUGCAGCGACGCCGCGUGAGUGAUGAAGGAAUUCGUUUCGUAAAACUCUGUUCUAUGGGAAGAAAAGGACUGUACCAUAGGAGAAAGCUCCGGCUAAAUACGUGCCAGCAGCCGCGGUAAUACGUAUGGAGCGAGCGUUGUCCGGAAUUAUUGGGCGUAAAGGGUGCGCAGGCGGCUUUACAAGUUGGAUGUGAAAUAUUGUGGCUCAACCACAAACGUGCAUCCAAAACUGCAAAGCUUGAGUUAAGGAGAGGUAAGUGGAAUUCCUGGUGUAGCGGUGGAAUGCGUAGAUAUCAGGAGGAAUACCGGUGGCGAAGGCGACUUACUGGACUUAAACUGACGCUCAGGCACGAAAGCGUGGGGAGCAAACAGGAUUAGAUACCCUGGUAGUCCACGCCGUAAACGAUGAGUGCUAGGUGUUGGGGGUCAAACCUCGGUGCCGCAAGCAAACGCAAUAAGCACUCCGCCUGGGGAGUACGUGCACAAGCAUGAAACUCAAAGGAAUUGACGGG